GAUGAAGAACGCAGCGAAAUGCGAUAAGUAGUGUGAAUUGCAGAAUUCAGUGAAUCAUCGAAUCUUUGAACGCACAUUGCGCCCUUUGGUAUUCCUUAGGGCAUGCCUGUUCGAGCGUCAUUUAAACCUUCAAGCUAAGCUUGGUGUUGGGUGACUGUCCGCUUCACGGCGGACUCGCCUCAAAAUUAUUGGCGGCCGGUACAUUGGCUUCGAGCGCAGCAGAAACGCGAACUCGGGCCCGUCGUAUUGGCUCCCAGAAGCUAUCUUCACAAUUUUGACCUCGAAUCAGGUAGGGAUACCCGCUGAACUUAAGCAUAUCAAUAAGCGGAGGA
rnacentral:misc_RNA from 1 species